rnacentral:rRNA from 1 species
UACGUAGGGUGCAAGCGUUAUCCGGAAUUAUUGGGCGUAAAGAGCUCGUAGGCGGUUUGUCACGUCUGCUGUGAAAACUGGAGGCUCAACCUCCAGCCUGCAGUGGGUACGGGCAGACUAGAGUGCGGUAGGGGAGAUUGGAAUUCCUGGUGUAGCGGUGGAAUGCGCAGAUAUCAGGAGGAACACCAAUGGCGAAGGCAGAUCUCUGGGCCGUAACUGACGCUGAGGAGCGAAAGCAUGGGGAGCGAACAGG